rnacentral:rRNA from 1 species
GACAGAGGGUGCAAACGUUGCUCGGAAUUACUGGGCGUAAAGCGUGCGCAGGCGGUUCGUUAAGUCAGAUGUGAAAGCCCCGGGCUCAACCUGGGAACUGCAUUUGAAACUGGCGGGCUUGAGUGUGGCAGAGGGGGGUGGAAUUCCGCGUGUAGCAGUGAAAUGCGUAGAGAUGCGGCGGAACACCGAUGGCGAAGGCAGCCCCCUGGGCUGAGAUUGACGCUCAGGCACGAAAGCGUGGGGAGCAAACAGG